rnacentral:tRNA from 1 species
GCCCAGGUGGUGGAACUGGUAGACACACCAUCUUGAGGGGGUGGCGCCGAAAGGUGUGCGGGUUCGAAUCCCGCCCUGGGCACUC